GACAUAGGUGGCGAACGUUAUCCGGAUUUAUUGGGCGUAAAGGAUGCGUAGAUGGUGGAAUAAGUUGUUGGUCAAAAUCGAGCUCAACUUGAUGGAAGCUGAUAAUACUGUUCUGCUUGAGGACAGGAGAGGUUAGCGGAACUCUAUGCGAUAGGGGUGAAAUCCGAUUGAUCUAUAGAGGACCACCAAAAAAGGCGAAGGCAGCUAACUAUUCUGCUCCUGACAUUGAGGCAUGAAAGCGUGGGGGAGCAAAACGGG
rnacentral:rRNA from 1 species